CCUACGGGAGGCAGCAGUGGGGGAUAUUGCACAAUGGGGGGAACCCUGAUGCAGCGACGCCGCGUGGGUGAAGAAGCGCCUCGGCGCGUAAAGCCCUGUCAGCAGGGAAGAAAAUGACGGUACCUGAAGAAGAAGCCCCGGCUAACUACGUGCCAGCCGCCGCGGUAAUACGUAGGGGGCAAGCGUUAUCCGGAUUUACUGGGUGUAAAGGGAGCGUAGGCGGCGAUGCAAGUCAGAAGUGAAAGCCCGGGGCUCAACUCCGGGACUGCUUUUGAAACUGUGUUGCUAGAUUGCAGGAGAGGGAAGUGGAAUUCCUAGUGUAGCGGUGAAAUGCGUAGAUAUUAGGAGGAACACCAGUGGCGAAGGCGGCUUACUGGACUGUAAAUGACGCUGAGGCUCGAAAGCGUGGGGAGCAAACAGGAUUAGAUACCCUGGUAGUC
rnacentral:rRNA from 1 species